GCUGUGGGAACUGAACAAAUGCGGUGUUGUCACCAUCCCGUUGAUCUAGCAUGAAGCAGACAGCUGAACUUAGGGCUUGAGAAUUGUUGAUGUAGUGAUCGCAGUCAAAGUUGAUGAUGAGUUGGGCAUUAGAGAGGAGUGCAGAGGCUCGCAGUUGUGCAUUCAGGGCCCCUGCCUUCUUGUUGUGGUCAUAAUUUGGGUUCUUCUCACGGGAGACAUAAACAAGCAUUGGGAGGCGCUCGUCAGUGGUGCCAAUGCUGAGAUUGCUUUCAUGAUGUUGUCCACGGUUUGGAUGCUCCAGCACAACCUGUUAAAGAAGGAGCGAAAUCAUCAGUGAUCAUUGCUGUAACAAGCAACCCAGAGAUUAAAAAUUUUCCCGAACUAAUGCUCUGCAAGAAGUAAGUGAUUGCCUCAUUUUCCAAAUUUCAACAACCACUAAUCUGAAAUUUAGUACCUUGGCAAUUGGAGCAUGAUGUCCUUUUCUAUGGUUUUCUGUUGGAUCAAUCCAUGUGCCAGGCCACUGCGUCCCAUUUGCCAUCCAAGUUGCCUUUUGAUCUCCUUCUGCAGCUCUCAUGCUAUUGUAAACAUCAGAUCUCUUGCAGAUGGCAUCAGGGAGGUUGUCCAAGCGCACCUUAAACUCAUCAUACUCCAUUUGCACCCUCCUAUAAUCAUUCAAGAACUCCUGUGUCACCCUUCCAGCCUGUGGUGGCGCCACAUGCUCAAAAUAGCUUUCUGGUGCCCUUGGCUCAAUGGAAUACUUGCGGCAGAAUGGAACCCACAGAGGUGCGAACUUUCCGACCUCGACCAAUGCCUCAUAGAGAACCAGUGCCCCGCUGUCAUCUGAGAGAUAGCAGGCAAGCCUGUCGACUGGGUAGUCAACAGCGAGGAUGGAGAGGACACAGUUCAUGGUGUACAGUAUGGGUUCAUCAAUGGGGUCGGCAGUGGUGACGAAAACAUCAAUUCCGGGGAGCCUAGAGGUGCCGUCAGGGAAGCCAAAGUGCCGCUUGAGGGCGGCCAGGUCUGGGAUGGUCUUGACAGGGUUGAACUUUGGGAGCUGGUUGAGGAGCCACGAGAAGCCGAACCAAACAUCGCCAACUAUGGACAUUGUCCAAAACCACAUGAUGUCAGAUUUGUUGUGCCUGAUGCGCCACGCGAAGAAGACAAGGACAGCGAUUAAUCGGAUGAUGAUCAGCAACCUGUGACAUGAAAACAUGUCGUCAGUUUUGCUCUUGAAAUGCAAGCUGUGCAAUCGUGUGUGAGUGUGAGUAUGUGACCAGAAUAGGAAAUAGCAAUCCUCCUGCAAGAUCCUUUCAUCUAUUUGGCAAUCCAUAUUACUAUAUUAUUAGUGCUUGGAAGAUGGUGAGCCCCCGGUGGAGUCUCAGGUCAAAAGUUGUCCAUUAAAGAAAAUUUUGCUGGCAAAUUUGUUAAGCCAGUAAGAUCUAAGCAGGCAAAGUCUAACAAGCAACUAGAAAAUCCGCGUUUAGCAAAAAUAUACAGCCUGUGCCCUUUUUACAUACUAGUGAACUGUAAAUAAUUAAGUACAUAUUUGGACUGUAUCUCUGUUCAUGCCAUUCACAUUCAGUUUAGCCGAGCUGGCUUUACCUGUAGGGGUGCAGAAGGGCGCCUUUGACCUUGUACUUCCGGAACAGCAGCGCGCGGCCGUCCUCACCGCCGGCCUCCUUCGCAGCCCGCCUCUCGGCCUUGUCGGCGGCCACCCAGUACUUGCCUUUGGCGCCAUGGGCAGCCUUCCUCGGAGCGGCACCGUGGCCGUUCGCGCUCACUAGAAGUGGGUCAGUGAGGCCACCAUUGGCCGCAUUCACGGCACCGUCGGCUGCCGGCGCCGGCGAAGCCAUGCCUUGCAGGUCCUAGCGAACCGCUAUUUUUUCUCUCUUUCGCCAAGACCAGACGUAGGUGGGGGCACUGACACUCUAGCCAGUGUGCAGUGGCACACGACGGGAGGAAGACUGGCGCAGUGCUUAUAUAUAGGAGGAGGCACGACGGCCAGGCCGAAGCACGGAGGUGCCUGGGGCGUGCCGGGCAUGUUACAGUCUUACAGAGUUACAGGCUGUUCAACCUGCCUAGAAGUGCGUCCAUCCAGAUACUUGUGCGAGCUGUGGCCAAUGGAUCGUUCGAUCUGGCGGUGUCUACAGACUAAACUACAAGCUCAUGGAGAAAACGUGGACCAUGAACACUGAGCGGUGAACACAGACCCGUGUCCAUGUGCCGCUGCGGGCUUAGCUGACCGCAAAGCAACGGCCGGAAUUCACGGGAGUGCACGGCGCGCACGUCGUGGUGCAAUGCGCUACGUACGGCAAGUAGAGGGAGGCUGGGAGCUACCGCUGUUAUUCUUAUUCAUUUUCACCUGUGUCAGGCAUGUUCGCCACCCAUCACCGUCGUAGUUAGCUGCUGGUUCUGUAACUUCUACUGGGCAGUUGGGCUGGGAAAGUCAGCUUCCAGCGCUGUCUCCUGCAUCGGCGAGAAGGAGGAUUGGAAGAUGGAAACCAGAUCAGUCUGUCUCUCCUUCCGUUUUUUAUCUGGAGCAACCACGCAAGUGGGUUGCGCAGUUGCAAUGAUCGGAUCUGCCUCGCACGCAGCCACCAAAAGCAUCAGCAGCGCAUGGGAAACUAGAUCUUGUCACUGCUAUGGACAUGGAACGGGAGCAAGAAAACCAUAUUCUUGGCGCAGUUGUUUGUUCGCUUCUCCUUUUAGAUCUAAGGCCACUUAGUAGUUUCAGUGCAAGUAGACGCUUGGUCUAGAUGGCUGGAUUAGUUUAUACCCAUCAUGAUCGUGUUGCAUGUUCCUGUCUACCGUUGUUUUUGUUGUUUUUUCCCACCUGUUCGAGGACUUUGUGAAUCCAUUUUUUUUAAUAUCACCAGUAAACAGGAAUCUCUCUUGCUGCGGUUGAGAUCAGAUCUGAUGAUAUGCUGCUAACACAUCUUAGUGCCGGGUGCUCUGCUGUGAUUUCGGAUGCACAUUGACCAAUAGGCAAUAGGGCAGGGAAAUAUAGAAACUUGUCCAAUUGAUAGCAGAAAUAAGGGUGCAAAUUCACGUGCUAAUUAAAAAACGAGGAUAAUAUAUGCAUCUAUUAUGUGUAGCGGGAUCUCUGCUUAAGUAUAUAUGGUGGCGGCUUAAUCAUGCAUAAAAGAGUCAUAGAUUAAGAUUCUAUAGCUUUGGCCGAAACCAUAACAUAUAUGAGGGACUCAUCAUUUAGCUGUACUUGAAUCUGUUGACUAACAAAAAUUAGAUCCUGGGUUCAGUUAUAGAAGAAGGAAAAUGUUUCGUAUAUAACUGAUAUUUCAACUGCAAUUAUUUGCGGCUGCAAAACUAAUUUUCCUUACAUUGUGUUUUGUGACUUUGUCUACUAUGUGUCUCUUGGUUGGGGGCAAACUUUUCUUAGCUAACAGGAAACUAAUACUUUUACCUAGUUACUUUAGAAUGAGAGUUCAGACAGCUGCAGUAAAGCUCUCUUUGUAAAGUAAGUAUGGACAGCCUACAGAUUUUACAAAAUGAACAUAGUUUGAGACCAUAAAAGAACAUUCAAGCGUUAGGGGGUGUUUGGUUGUGGAUGUUAAAAUAAAAGAUUUGUCUCGUAAAUUAUCCUUUAGCUGUGUUUUUAGUUUUGUAAAUAGUAUAUAUUUAGUACUCCAUGUAUAUGUCCAAACAUUCGAUGUGAUGAGAGUUAAAAAAAAAUCACUAGUACCAAACAGGACCUUAGUAUAUUGAGCCUUCUGUGUUGUGUCGCCAUUAAAAUAUUCUUCUCCAUGAGUGCUUCCAUGGUACCAGCUUUCCUUCCAUGUUGAGAUCUUUCAGUUGCUCUUUAGUUGUAAAGGUGCCUACAAUGAUAUAUGUUCAUACACACAAGUCCGUGAACAGAUCUAUCUUAAUUUACAAUGGAGUCCUGAAUAUUACAGUAGUUGCCAACUUAUAAGCCUUUAUACGGUUCUAUAAAAUAACCUUGACAUCUGCUCGAGUACAACUCAUACUGAAAAACAAUAUGAUUCCUACUUUUCUGUAAAGCCUACAAAGCUGACCGAUGAACAGUAUCCAAAUUGCAUAUUCCCUCUGGCUCUAAAUAUUUGUCGCCACGAUUUGUGUGCUGACAAUUUUGACUCAAUUUAUAGAAAAUACGUGUAAUAUUUUUAUCUUAAAAUAAAUUUAUUAAAAACUAGAUUUAAAUAUCUAUCUAAUGAUACUAAUUAAAUAUUAUUAUGUUUUAAUAUAUAUUUAGUCAAAGUUGUUUGUCAUGAAGCGAAAACGGCAGACAUGCAUUUAGGGACGGAGGGAGUACAAUUUUGUUACUUGACAAAUUUUGCUUUGGACUCAGUCAUUCUGUGCAGCAGCAAAAAGCACAUUCAUUGAUGCAGCUCUGCUGCGGAGUAUAUAGUAAAACGGAGUACCAAUGUCAUCUUUUACAUGUACCUCCUCUUUUUUUUAACCUUUCUUUUUUUAGAAGGAGCUCUUGAUUUAAUAGUGUUUUUCUCUCACAAUAAAUUAGUCAAUAGUACUUUCUGUCAUGGUUUGUCAUCCAAACGAAUAAGACGGCCGAGCCAGCUCAACGAGUUAUUUGUCCAGCCCGCACAUUACCGUCAGGUAAAUUAGAAGUUACUUAUAGUUAUAUAUAUGGGCUUUAUCUAUGAAAAUAUUGUUAUGAUCAUGAUGAAUUGACAUAUAUGCAUGAAAACUUUCCACAUCAAUCGAUCUUGUUCUCUACUCAAAAGGAAUAGACAACCGAAAGAUGUCAGUGUUCAGAGUCGUCGCAUCUAACUUGUGUGUAACUAAUAUUGCACAGCUGCUCUAGUACACCUCAUACGAUGUUUUUUGUAAUCAUGUUCUUUCGUCUCGUGUCUUAUUAUUUGUCAUAUGCCUAUUAAACUUCCGAGGGUAGGCCUGAUUCAGAUCCCGCAUGCUUCACACUUCUAUACUACUAGAAGUCUAGUGAACAGGCACGAGGGCUAGCUCCAUGUGCACACUACAGCCGGUGCUUCUCACGCCAUUGAUUGGAAUGAUGUCUCGGGAUAUUCUAUCGGCUGGUCCGAGAAGCCACCAUCGGCCAUUUUGUGACGAACAAACGAUCACGGUGUUCGGCAGCUGGUCCUAUAAUAAUAAAGGUACUCCUUCCAUCCUCAAUUAUAAGUCAUUUUAAGAAUUUUGGAGAAUCUAAGAAUAACAAGUUUAACCAAAUUUAUAUGAUAUGAUAAUAGUAUUUAUGAUAUCAACUAAGUAUCAUUAGGUUCUUCAUUAUUAUUAAAAAAAUAUAUAUUUUUGUAGUAUAUCUAUUUGAUAUCAUAAAUCUUUGUACAAGAUUCGAUUCUUGGAAUGACUAGGCCUUGUUUAGUUUAUGAAAAAAAAAAUUGAGUGUCACAUCGGAUGUAUAAGUAGGAUGGCGGGAGAGAUUUUCGGAUACUAAUAAAAAACAAACUACAUAGCUCGCCUGAAAAUAUUAACUCUAAUUAAUUUAUCAUUAACACAUAUGUUACUGUAGCAAUUUAGAUUAAUUAGGAUUAAAAGAUUCGUCUCAUAAAAUCCAACUAAUCUUUGCAAUUAGUUUUUUUUUAUUUUAUCUAUAUUUAAUACUUCAUGCAUAUGUCUAAACAUUCGAUGAGUAGGAUAAAAAGGUUUUGAGUGGGAACUAAACAGAGAAAAAAAAGCGAGCACCACCGUUUUGUGACUGCAACCCACAGAUUUGUUGAAGAAGAAAAUUUAUUGGAUGAUUGGAAAUUGAGGUCCUUCAGAGUGCCAGUGGCUCGACGAACGCUAAUGGCCGUUGUAGCCAUAGGCACAGGCGCACAUCCCGCAUAGGCCAGCGCCCAGCGCAGUGGAAGAUGGAGCUACAGGGAGCCCCUGCUGCUUGUGCAGUUGUGCUUGGGAAACAACAAAUCUGACAGACGGUGCCCGUACUCGCAUCGCGAUCAAGCGCAUACAUAUAUCUCUGAGCCAAGCCAGCCAGCCAUCCCGGCCGGUUGGUUUCGUCCAGUUCCGUCCCGACCACCAAUAGGCGCAGCAGAUCUUGUCAGGUCAGGGUCAGGGGCAAUGCGCCAAGCUGACCUGGAGACAGUUCUCAUCAGGCUCCGUGUCUUUGUGUGCUAGAGAACAGCCUGGAUCCGCUAAUAUGAACUUCUAAUUCCUCGCGCAGUGGAUUGCCAAACUGCAGGACGAACAUUACCCAAACUGCAUUUCUUUUAAGGUAAAUCUGAAAUCAUUUAAAUUUUCUGCUUUCGACUCGUAAUCAUUACAAAAAAAGAAAAAGAAAAAAAAACACCUACAGCACGGUAGCAGUUGUCUGCUCGGAUUGGUGCAAAUGAUCAUUUUUUUAAAACUUUAGCAGGAGCUAGAGGGAAUCAGGCUUUGGCGUUCUUAUACUUUUUAUUUUUUUUCCAUUCUUUCUCUGUGCCCUAAUUUUGGAUUGUAAUACUUUUGAACUCUGUUUGUCUUUUUUUUAAUAUAAUCUCUCUAGGGGCCAUGGCCCUCCAGUUUCCUAAAAAAAAUACACACCCCUGUGGGCACAAUGGAAGGAAACCCCUCCUAGCGAAACGUUUUCUUCCUCUGUUCAAUGUCUGUCUUUGAUAGCUACCUGCCACACUAUUUCUAAAGUGUUGUUGAAAAUGUGCCUGUUCCUCUCUUUCCAUAAGUUCUAGAAUGUGUAUAUUACUAGGCCAUUGAAACUCUUUCGAUCAGGUGGAGGCGCUUUGCUAGUGGCCUUCUCCCACCAAGGCAUAAUCUGUAAUGGGACUUCCUGUUGUUGACCCAAUAUACCGUCAAAGUUCUCCCGAGUGAGAACUUGGUUCCAAACCGCCUUUGGGAAAGGGUAACAUAUACAUAAGUGAAGACCGGUCUCCAAGAGACCAUUGCAAAGAACACAGUGUUUCUAGUGCGGCCAUCCUCUUUUUUUGUCUUUUUUUUUUUGCAAAUUGUCCGCCGUUAGGAUUUUUCCCAUAAAUUAGGAUCAUCUGAACCUUUUUGUUCUUGGAAUCCACCAAAAGUCAUACGUGAAAACAUACCAUUAUGCAUUAUAGAGUGCCCACUAAAAAUAAUGACAUACCCCUUAUGAAAGAGGGAAAGAAAAGAAACUAUCACUCCAUUACUUGUGUACGUGGGGUUAUUGGACCAUGGUUAGUGUACCAAUUAAUAAUAAGAAAUGCAAGCUCGGAUAAAAAACAGUUGAUUGUAUCCUUUUAGGAUAUGUUCACCAUAUUAUGGCUUAUAAUAUAAGUCAUCAGUGGUAGGAAAAUUAAAUCCUAACAUCAAUAGCAAAAUUGUACUUUUAGCCUAUAGUCAGUACUGUACAGUUGAAGCUAUAUAGAGCAAAAAUCCAAAUGGUCUGAAUUUAAUUAGGAUUAUUUUAUAUUAUUAGAAGUAAGAAUGCAAUGUUUAUUGAUAAAAGGAAAAUAAUUGGUUCCUUGGUAACUACACAAGGAAUUACAUUGCCUUCUAUAUCGCCUAGAGUGGAAUUACACCAGCAAGUAAGAUAUGGAGACCUACAUACAAAAUGGCAACAAGUACAAGGACAACUGGCAGCAAGAUUACAAGGAUGAUUGGCCUCUUCGCCCACCGCCCCAUGAUUGCUAGUGCAAAUGGGUAGAGGAGAAACAUGAUCCAUAUGUUGAACAGCAGACCCAAUGCAGCAUGCAUCUUCUUCGCCGCUGUCCAUGUUUCAAUGUUUACCACUAUUUUGCCCAGGGCUACACCAAUGGCACCAACAUUGCAGACCAGAACUGCCAUUGUUGGGAUGAGCAUUGGCACCCAUCGAAAAUCAUACAAGUCCGCAAACUUGUCAUUGUCAUCUGCGGCUGUUUGCUUGGAAGUGACCCUGAAGUGUAUGCCCUUCUUUGUGAGGAGGUUCACUACCAUGUGCAACACUGCCAUUGGAUAUGCACUCGUCGAGCCGAUCAUAAAGAACUGCUCAUUGCGCCAAUAGUCCAGCCAUGUGACCCCCGCCCACUUUAUCUCAAGCCAGCCAAUCAUGUGAAUCAUCACGACGAUUAUGAUAAGGUACACGACAUACCUAGUGAAUGGUCUCUGGAUGUAUACUUCGUCAGGGAUAAGCCACAUCACUGGGCUUAGAGCAUAGAUCAGGAUGAAUACUGAUGUGACUGGGUAGACUGUCAUGUUGAGGUAGGAGACACGUUGAAGAGGUUGAAUCCGGCGACCACCAAUGAAUGGGUUGUUGUGGGAGAAGAACAUCUCUAAAGACCCACCAGACCAACGCACAAUUUGAUGGAGGCGUUCUGUUAGGUUGAUCGGUGCAACACCACAAAACGCAUCAUGCUCCAUUGUGCAAUACAUAGAGCGCCACCCCUGCCCGUGAAUGUGAAAUCCUGUUACUAUAUCUUCAGUGGCUAUGUCAUAGAUGUACCCUACACCCUUGCCCCAGUCAGAACCUUGGUCAUAAGAACAUGUCACAACCCUCUCUAACUCAGCAAGGAAUGUGUCAUCAAUUGGUGGUGGUGUGAUUGACCUGUCAUUUUUCAGGGCUUUUGACACUGAAUCUAGAAAGAUUGUGGAGUUACCAAACCUACUAGCUUCGGCUGUGAUGUUUUCUGCUCUACAAUGGGGUGGGUCAAUACCAUAGAGUGCUAAGCGACGGAACAUGCAACCAGUGCCGAGGUAUGAGGGUCCUUGCAAACCAUUAAGGGCAAGCAUGGUCCCAUCAAAGAAGACACGAUUGUGGUUACCAUAGCGGUCUGUGGGGUCAACAUUGUCAAAGCGCUGUGGGAACUGAACGAAAGCGGUGUUAUCACCAUCUCGUUGAUCUAGCAUGAAGCACACAGCCGAGCUUAGGGCUUGAGAAUUGUUGAUGUAGUGGUCGCAGUCAAAGUUGAUGACGAGUUGGGCAUUAGAGAGGAGAGCAGAGGCCCGCAGUUGUGCAUUCAGGGCACCUGCCUUCUUGUUGUGGUCAUAACUUGGGUUCUUCUCACGAGAGACAUAAACAAGCAUUGGGAGGCGCUCGUCAGUGGUGGUAAUGCUGAGAUUGCUUUCAGUGAUGGGUUGUGAACCAAGAUGUUGUCCACUGCUUGGAUGGUGCAGCACAACCU
rnacentral:lncRNA from 1 species